GACGAAGGGGGCUAGCGUUGUUCGGAAUCACUGGGCGUAAAGGGCGCGUAGGCGGCUUUGUAAGUCGGGGGUGAAAGCCUGUGGCUCAACCACAGAAUUGCCUUCGAUACUGCAUGGCUUGAGACCGGAAGAGGUAAGUGGAACUGCGAGUGUAGAGGUGAAAUUCGUAGAUAUUCGCAAGAACACCAGUGGCGAAGGCGGCUUACUGGUCCGGUUCUGACGCUGAGGCGCGAAAGCGUGGGGAGCAAACAGG
rnacentral:rRNA from 1 species